rnacentral:tRNA from 2 species
AAAAAUUUAGUUAAAUUUAUAACAUUAGUUUGUCAAACUAAAAUUAUUAAAAUAAUAAUUUUUA